CUCAAAGGUUCCCUCAGAAUGGUUGGAAAUCAUUCAUAGAGUGUAAAGGCAUAAGGGAGCUUGACUGCGAGACCUACAAGUCGAGCAGGGUCGAAAGACGGACUUAGUGAUCCGGUGGUUCCGCAUGGAAGGACCAUCGCUCAACGGAUAAAAGCUACCCCGGGGAUAACAGGCUUAUCUCCCCCAAGAGUUCACAUCGACGGGGAGGUUUGGCACCUCGAUGUCGGCUCAUCGCAUCCUGGGGCUGUAGUCGGUCCCAAGGGUU
rnacentral:rRNA from 1 species